AGCACGUCCACAGCAAGCUGAAUGACGCAAGGGAGGCUCGGCAUGUGAUUCUGCACAACUGUGAGUGUGUGACAAGCUAGUUGGGAGCAACGGCAGUGAAGGUCACCACUGAUUGAUAAGCAACAGUGCAGCAGGAUGGUGUGAAGAUCACCACUGAUUGAUCAGGGACCGUGUUACGGGAUGGCGCGAAAACCACCAUCGAUUGAUCGGGGACCGCGUUGCGGGAAGGUGUGGAGAUCACCACUGAUUGAUCAGGGACAGUGCUGCCGGCUGGUGUGAAGAAACAAACACCGACAUCCCCGCUGGUUGUUAGUCCCUGCUCUCCACAAUUUUGCAUCCAACAACACCACCAAUGUCCAUCACAGUGUUGGUGAAUACAAGCUUGUCAGCAGACACAACAACAGACCGGUAUCCGUCAUAAACAACCAGAGUUGCAGCACCCAGCAUGGAAGCGGCACCACCGGCAGCACUCAUAAAACCAACGAAGUCUCCCACGGGUACCGGUAUUCACUUCAACUUCCGUACACCGUACAUUUGGAAUUUCCUUGCUAUGGAGUACGGUGUUGUGAAUGUGGACCGUGUGGAGUGGUGGAGUGUUUCAAAAUUUCAGAAUGGUCGAGUUCCUCACAGCUUCUACGUUAACUUCUGUACAUGCCUAUUAGGUAAUACAGCAUGAUAACUGGGACAAAGAUUGAGUGACAGAACAACCAGAGUGCAGCAACGCUGCUCUACAUCUGCUCCAGUUGAAGCCCUGACAGACAUGAAAAAGGUGUCAAUGUCAUUCGCACGGAAACAUAGAUCAUGAAUUGGGAAAAAGCCCCAUCAUCAUCAUCAUCAUCAUCAUCAUCAUCAUCAUCAUCAGCAGCAGCAGCAGCAGAAACCGGCAAUAGCAAUGUUAGUGACAGUUUCACACCCCUUGUUUUACCACUGUGAUUAUGCGUGCAGUUCAGUAACCCGCACGUAGUAUCACAGAUACAUCGUAUUCUCUCUCUCCCCCCGUUUACCCGCAGUUAUUAGUAUCCUAUUCUCUUACUAUGUGCUUCCAUAGCUUUUACUAUGUUCUUCCAUAGCCACUUCUAGGCUAAGCCUUCGCCGUCAUUUUAUUGGGUCGUCAUCCCGUUUGAAUGUGCGAAGUGAAAUAAAAAC